AUGGUUUGCGGGAAAACUCUUCUCUCUCUGGUCUCACUUCGAGUCCUUCUAGAAGUAAAUAAAGUAAAUGCUUAUUCAACUACGGCACUGUCGGACAACCGACCGGAUUCAAGCCCUAGCCCCUCAACUCAGACGGACUUGUGGAAAUCCUCGAAAACAAGCAUUGCUCAACUCACCUAUCUAUAA
rnacentral:rRNA from 1 species